CUACGGGUCGCUCCAGUGAGGAAUAUUGCACAAUGGGGGGAACCCUGAUGCAGCAACGCCGCGUGGAGGAUGACGCAUUUCGGUGUGUAAACUCCUUUUAUAUGUCAAGAAAAUGACGGUAGCAUAUGAAUAAGCACCGGCUAACUCCGUGCCAGCAGCCGCGGUAACACGGAGGGUGCAAGCGUUACUCGGAAUCACUGGGCGUAAAGGACGCGUAGGCGGGUUGGAAAGUCAGGUGUGAAAUCCUACAGCUUAACUGUAGAACUGCACUUGAAACUUCUAAUCUAGAGUAUGGGAGGGGGAGAUGGAAUUAGUGGUGUAGGGGUAAAAUCCGUAGAUAUCACUAGGAAUACCUAAAGCGAAGGCGAUCUCCUGGAACAUUACUGACGCUAAGGCGUGAAAGCGUGGGGGGCAAACAGGAUUAGAUACCCCCGUAGUC
rnacentral:rRNA from 1 species